GGGGAAUUUUGCGCAAUGGGCGCAAGCCUGACGGAGCAAUACCGCGUGAGGGAAGAAGGCUUUUGGGUUGUAAACCUCUUUUCUCAGGGAAGAAGCAAUGACGGUACCUGAGGAAUCAGCAUCGGCUAACUCCGUGCCAGCAGCCGCGGUAAUACGGAGGAUGCAAGCGUUAUCCGGAAUUAUUGGGCGUAAAGCGUCCGCAGGCGGCUAGUCAAGUCUGCGGUCAAAGACAGAAGCUAAACUUUUGGAAGGCCGUGGAAACGGGCAAGCUAGAGUACGGUAGGGGUAGAGGGAAUUACCAGUGUAGCGGUGAAAUGCGUAGAGAUUGGGAAGAACACCAGUGGAGAAAGCGCUCUACUGGGCCUGUACUGACACUGAGGGACGAAAGCUAGGGGAGCGAAAGGGACUAGAUACCCCUGUAGUC
rnacentral:rRNA from 1 species